rnacentral:lncRNA from 1 species
GAAAUUAUGGUAGUAGCCAACCACUGUUUAAUUGGAAUUAAGUCCCACUUCAUGAGAACAAACCCAUGACCAACAUUGCAUGAGUCACCAAGAACCAAGAAUAUAUAGCCCAAAGACCUAGGAUAAAGGCAAAAGAUUGAUUAAAACAAACAAACAAACAAAAAGUAACAAAUUGACUCUCAAUAUUAUUCUGCUGUAUACAUUUUCCAGACAGUUUGCCUUUAUUCUAUCUCUACAUUGUGUCCUCUGUGUAUAUAUUAUAGUUAUUAGUUUAGUAUUUUAUUGGAACUCCUGGCUGUGAGGAAAAAGUGGGUCUCCCUUGUAUGCUCCUGGAAUUCUUUCCUUCUGUUGGUUUGCCAUGCACAAUGUCUAUAUGAAAAAAUUUGUUUCAUCAUGAUAUUUUUGUCAUAUGUAGUUUUUAUUUCUUAAAAGAUUGUUCUGUUCUAAAUGAGAGGCAAAAGGUGAGUGCAUCCAGAGAGGAGAAGAUAUGGAGAGGAAUGAAAUGAAGGCAAACUGCAAUCAUGAUAUAUUAUAGGAGAUGAGGGUCUAUUAUCAAUAAAAAGACAAACAAAAGGAACCAGUUUGAUAAUGGAUUUGGAGGAGACUCAGAGUUCCCUAUAAGGAAAAGGGUAGGAGGGGAAAGUUACUUCUAUUUAGAAUCUUUGGACCUCACAUUUUCUUUUGUAAGCUGGUAGCAAUAUUGAUGGUAUUAAGCCCUUCAGUGGUUGUGGUGUUAAAUACAGUAUUGUAAUUUUAGCACUUUGGAAAGGUCACAGAGAAUUAAUUCAUAAAAACUGAAUACACUUGAAUGCCUUACUUGAAUAAGUAUAUUUAUCAAUACUAUUUUAAUAUCUAGAAUUCCAAGGACUAUUUAAGAAUAGAUGGUAACUUUCUAGAUUUAAUUAGAUGAGCCUAAUAUUGUGUUCCUUUAUAGAUUUAUUUUUACAGAGAAUUUCCUUAGCAAUAAGUGCUACAUCCUACUUACAUUUUAAAACUCUUUUUCUUUGGCAUUCAAUGUCAAGGUGAAAGAAUUUUAAACAAAUAAAAAAUAUUUCCUUUUCCUGUCUGCCUCAUUGCUUUUUCAGUUUUCCUGAUGGUGAUUUUUUCAUUUCCUAAUAGCUUUCCUUGACUUGAUAUUCACUUCCCAGUAGAAAGCAGUAAACAUUUUGUUACCUAAUGUUAGGGCAUGAGCCAAAGGCGGAGCCUGCCAUGGUCAGGAGCCAUUGGCACUGACCGCUCUCAACAUUCUAGUCUUAGAUUAUAGGUAUUGUCAACAGCCUUUUAGUUCUUCAGAGGAGAAAACAAACAUUAAUGUUGAAUUUUAUUUCCUGCACUUUGAGAUAGUUAAUCUGUGUCUACUAUGCAAUUCUAAGAUAAAGGAAGCAUUCAUUUUCAUGCCAGGCUGUUCUCUAAGCACUGAGAACAUAAUCACGGAACAUACAGUGAAGAAUCAGGCAGAUAAAGCUCCAAGAAGCUACACUUGUAAUUAUGAAAAUACAAGUAAUUAGUGAAGACAGUUUUAUAUUUUGUAAAUACUACUUAUAUUUAGUAAGUACCACUUUAUCUAUUUAUCUUGAUAUUAUUUAUUUAGCUGCACAAAUGCUGGCCUGCAGAAUCUAUGCUGUUUUGAGUUGCAGGAAAAAUAAUGUUUACUGUGAUAUUCAAAUAAAAAACAAGGAUAAUAAGAAAGCCUAUCAUGCAGUAUUUCAGUAUGAUUGCAGUGCAGGCAGCGUUAAGAUGUGCAGAAGGUUCCUUGAAAUGGCUGGAGGGAUAAAGGCUCUUGCUUUGAAGAAUAAUGAAUUGAGUUUGUUCGCUAUAAUCCACAAAGUAAAAAGAAAGAACUGAUUUGUUAUGGUUGUCUUCUAGUGACCACAUCUUUAUCUUGCAUACACAGACAUACAUACAUACAUACACACACACACACACACACACACACACACACACACACACACAUACACACACACACAUACACAUAGAAGAAUGAUGCAUUCAAUUCUGAAUGUAAGUCAGUGCAUGAAAUCAGGCUUGCAUCUCUAUAGAAUGACUUAGGUUUCCAUGAAGAAAAACCAAACCAAACAAUCUUGUGGCAGGCACAGGUUUUACCAGGAUUCCCAGAGAGUCUAUUUUGUUAGCUGUUUGGAAAACUGUGGUGAUUGUGGGAUAAAAGGAAGAUUGUUUGUUGUGAUGUUUGAAAAGUAGAAAGAAGCAGAAUUAUUUUGGAAAGAGUUCUUGAUGAAAUAUUUGUGAAUAUUAAGAGAUAUCACAGAUGUUAGAAAGCACUUUUCACUGAAAAUCUGAU